rnacentral:rRNA from 1 species
GGCAAGGUCCAUACCACGUUGAAUACACCAGUUCUCGUCCGAUCACUGAAGUUAAGCAACAUUGGGCGCGGUCAGUACUUGGAUGGGUGACCGCUUGGGAACACCGCGUGUCCUUGUCUCUU